rnacentral:tRNA from 1 species
ACCCUUUUAGUAUAAAAAGUAUAUUUAACUUCCAAUUAAAAGGUUAUUAAAAAGGGUA